UGGUCCAGUUCUCACUGUAAGUACAUGUCUUUCAUUUUCUUAAAUUUAAAAUUAAAAUAAGUGUUGGCAGCUUCAUACAUUUGUGUAUUAUUCUCCCUAAGAUAUGAUUUGUGGAGAGAGAACUACUCUUGAGUGCAGUAAGUGAGAAGAUAUGAAUGAAUUCUAGAGUUAAUUGAAAUAAGUUAUACAUAACUAUUCUAGUGUUUAUAUCCAUGCUUUUGAUUGAUGAUUAAAAAGGAGUUUAUCUGGUGGGGGUGGGAGCUACGAACAAUUUGCUGCUUUCAGUUUACAACUGAAUCAAUGUUGUAAAUAGAGAAAAUUAAAUAGAAGAAAAGCAUAGCUUAACGAAAAGCUUUUGAAGAUGCAUAUACUCACAAUCAUGUUCUUACAUACUUUUGGUUGUUGUGCUUGCAAGAAGGACAUACAAAAUUGGAGGUUGUGAUUUGAGCAGCACUGCUCCUCCUUGUAACAGGUGGAUUGAAAUGAUGGCUCCCGGAUUAGUAAUAUGUAAUUCUAGGAUGGUAGCUUGCUUAGAAUCUUCGUUAGCUUGGGUACUAGUAGUGUUUUUUUGUUUCAGUAAAAACUAGUGGUCUCUUUUGUAACUUCCUAUUGAUUCUAAAAUUUUUUCUCUUAUGUAAUAUUAUGUAAAGCAAGUAGAUAAUGUAAUAGUUGUUGUAAUGAUUUUGAUUUUUGGUAUUUUGUUAGAGCAUGUCAUGUGAUCAAUCACACUAUAUUUGGUGACAAGUUUAUAAAGAUUGGAUUAGUUGAUUUAAAA